rnacentral:rRNA from 1 species
UAGGGAAUCUUCCACAAUGGACGCAAGUCUGAUGGAGCAACGCCGCGUGAGUGAAGAAGGUUUUCGGACCGUAAAGCUCUGUUGUUGGUGAAGAAGGAUAGAGGUAGUAACUGGCCUUUAUUUGACGGUAAUCAACCAGAAAGUCACGGCUAACUACGUGCCAGCAGCCGCGGUAAUACGUAGGUGGCAAGCGUUGUCCGGAUUA